UACGUAGGGGACGAGCGUUGUCCGGAAUUAUUGGGCGUAAAGGGCGUGUAGGCGGCUUUUCAAGUCCUGCGUGAAAUCUCGAGGCUCAACCUCGAGCGGUCGUGGGAAACUGGAAGGCUAGAGUGCGGGAGAGGGAAGUGGAAUUCCAGGUGUAGCGGUGAAAUGCGCAGAUAUCUGGAAGAACACCCGUGGCGAAGGCGGCUUCCUGGAACGACACUGACGCUGAGACGCGAAAGCGUGGGGAGCAAACAGG
rnacentral:rRNA from 1 species